UACAGAGGGGGCAAGCGUUGUUCGGAAUUACUGGGCGUAAAGGGCGCGUAGGCGGCCUGCUAAGUCGAACGUGAAAUCCCCGAGCUCAACUCGGGAACUGCGUCCGAUACUGACAGACUUGAAUCCGGGAGAGGGAUGCGGAAUUCCAGGUGUAGCGGUGAAAUGCGUAGAUAUCUGGAGGAACACCGGUGGCGAAGGCGGCAUCCUGGACCGGCAUUGACGCUGAGGCGCGAAAGCUAGGGGAGCAAACGGG
rnacentral:rRNA from 1 species